rnacentral:rRNA from 1 species
CCCUUAGAUGUUCUGGGCCGCACACGCGCUACACUGAAGGAGGCAGCGUGUACUCCUGGAUCGAAAGAUUUGGGUAACCCGCGAAUCUCCUUCGUGCUAGGGAUUGAGGUUUGCAAUUAUCCUUCAUGAACGAGGAAUUCCCAGUAAGUGCAAGUCAAAAGCUUGCGCUGACUACGUCCCUGCCCUUUGUACACACCGCCCGUCGCUACUACCGAUUGAAUGAUUUAGUGAGGACUUCGGACUGGGACCGAUGCGGCUUUCGGGCUGCGUCGGUAUUCUGGAAAGAUGUCCAAACUGUAUCAUUUAGAGGAAGUAAAAGUCGUAACA